AGAGAAACGUAUCUUCCCUAUUUAGCUGUCCAAGAAGGUCUGUGGUUUAGGACCUCUAGCCCACUAUUGGUCCUACACCCCCCACACAGGCCAAGAAUUGGAAGAAGAAGAAGAGAGAAUCAGGGUGCAAUAUGGAGACACAUAUUACUUUACUGAAAGUACAUAACAUUUGGAUAACCAUAGCUCCUCUUCAGCAAGCCAAGUGCUUCUAGGGCAUGUCAACAAAUUGGGGGAAAUUUACUAAACUGUUG